rnacentral:rRNA from 1 species
UGUUCGGAGAGUUUGAUCCUGGCUCAGGACGAACGCUGGCGGCGUGCUUAACACAUGCAAGUCGAACGAUGAUGCGGUGCUUGCACCGUUGAUUAGUGGCGAACGGGUG